GAAACACAGAUUUUUUUUAUUGAACAAUGUAAUAUAAAAUCAACAAUAAGGUUAUAUAUAUUAACAAGGUUUGCAAAAUUCAAACAAGGUUUACACUAUUUAACCAAGAUUUACACAUUUCAAACAAGGUUUACACUAUUUUACCAAGAUUUACACAUUUCAAACAAGGUUUACACUAUUUAACCAAGAUUUGCACAUUUCAAACAAGGUUUACACUAUUUAACCAAGAUUUACACAUUUCAAACAAGGUUUACACUAUUUAACCAAAAUUUGCACAUUUCAAACAAGGUUUGCAAUAUUUAAC